UACGGAGGGUGCAAGCGUUAUCCGGAUUCACUGGGUUUAAAGGGUGCGUAGGAGGGUAGGUAAGUCAGUGGUGAAAUCCCCGAGCUUAACUUGGGAACUGCCGUUGAUACUAUCUAUCUUGAAUAUCGUGGAGGUGAGCGGAAUAUGUCAUGUAGCGGUGAAAUGCUUAGAUAUCGUAAGGAAGACCAGUGGCGAAGGCGGGUCUCUGGACAGUUCCGUGACGCUGAGGCACGAAGGCCAGGGGAGCAAAACGGGG
rnacentral:rRNA from 1 species